AACGCGAAGAACCUUACCCAGACUUGACAUGCACUGGACGACAUCAGAAACGAUGUUUCCCUUCGGGGCCGGUGCACAGGUGCUGCAUGGCUGUCGUCAGCUCGUGUCGUGAGAUGUUGGGUUAAGUCCCGCAACGAGCGCAACCCUUAUCCCUAGUUGCCAUCGGGUCAAGCCGGGCACUCUAGUGAAACUGCCUCGGAUAACGAGGAGGAAGGUGGGGAUGACGUCAAGUCCUCAUGGCCUUUAUGUCCAGGGCUACACACGUGCUACAAUGGUCGGUACAAACCGUCGCAAACCCGUGAGGGGGAGCUAAUCGGAAAAAGCCGGCCUCAGUUCGGAUUGGAGUCUGCAACUCGACUCCAUGAAGCUGGAAUCGCUAGUAAUCGCGGAUCAGAACGCCGCGGUGAAUACGUUCCCGGGCCUUGUACACACCGGUACUA
rnacentral:rRNA from 1 species